AUUCCAGCUCCAAUAGCGUAUAUUAAAGUUGUUGCAGUUAGAACGCUCGUAGUCGGAUUUCGGGGCGGGCCGACCGGUCUGCCGAUGGGUACGCACUGGUCGGCGCGUCCUUCCUUCCGGAGACCGUGCCUACUCUUAACUGAGCGGGGGCGGGAGACGGAUCGUUUACUUUGAAAAAAUCAGAGUGUUUCAAGCAGGCAGCUCGCUCUUGCAUGGAUUAGCAUGGGAUAAUGAAAUAGGACUUUGGUGCUAUUUUGUUGGUUUCGAACACCGAAGUAAUGAUUAACGGGGACAGUCAGGGGCACUCGUAUUCCGCCGAGAGAGGUGAAAUUCUCAGACCAGCGGAAGACGAACCACUGCGAAAGCAUUUGCCAGGGAUGUUUUCAUUG
rnacentral:rRNA from 1 species